rnacentral:lncRNA from 1 species
UAACAGCACCAGGCAGGCAGACGUAGAAACACUCAGACUGGCAGUAGAGUGCCAUCUUUGCUUUGUUCUUCAGACUUGUAAGCAUCCCCAAGCGGGCAAAUCAGGAAGAAAUAAUGACAGAAACUGGUAGAUGGGGACCGCGUUCUUCCCCUCUCUCGGGAGAUGAUGGAGGAGGAAAGAUGCUGCAUUGUGUGCCCCUCUGGUGCAGCUCACACCGGUGGCAGAGGUUGUGCAGCUGUGGAAUUUGGAGCCCGUGCUUUGUGAAGUUCCAUAUUGCUCUGGAUUUCAGAGACAGAUGCUGCUUCAUGUACCCAGGAUCUCUUUCAAAUUCAGCUAAUUCAGAUCAGGAAGCUGACCCAACUCAUCAUUUGUUGCACAACGACUGGAGCUGGCAGGACAGGGAACUGCAGCCAGAAACCGCAAGUAAUGCUCGUUUGGCACCAAUAUGGUCUUCGGUGGACUUCAGGAUUUGAUUUUAUAAUGCACUAAUUAGCACCAAGGACAGUGGUUAAUAAAAAAGCACCUUCAGUAGUUUGAAAAACAACAUGGCGUGGUAUUCCAGGACCCAGCUGCAGAUGGUCAUGCUUAGAACCAUCUAAGCAUCCUAUGGAAAGGAUUGUUAGUUUAAACUGACCACGAGAGGUGGUUUGCCACCACUAUAGGUAGAAAAGCGAGGCAUAGAAUAACUGAAUAAAACACAAAAUAAAACUGUAAGGUAAAGUCAAUAGAGAAUUCCCAUUGUGCUUCCUUUUACCAAUUUCUCCAGUAUUUUUCAGAACAGACUAGAAAAAUAUUAAAAAAAAAAAAGUUUAAUGACAAUUUACAAAUAUACAAUACUUACAUUUUCAAAAGUUACAAAAAUGGUACUUUAACAGAAACCAAAAGCUUCAUCUGACCUUUGGUACAUUUCAAAAUUAGUUAUUUACAAAGAAAAAAAUCACAGUCACUUUUCAUAGUGUCAAUGUUUACAUGUAAGCAUCCCUCAGUUAAAAAACAUCUCACAGCUUACCCACAGGCACUUUUUGCAGUUUGAGCUCUGCACCCAUCCAUCACAUUGAGAAUUCUAUCAGCCCCCGUUAAGCUGACAUGACAUUGCAUUAUUAUGUUUUAACAGACUUUAGUUUGAAGAAUAUGUAUAACCAUCACGCUAAACUGAUUCACAGUUGGUGACAUUUCACCUGGUGCAUUUUGUAUUGCUUAUGGCUUGGUACAAUGACACAGGCUUCCUUUUCUAAUUAGCUUGUAAUACACGUUAAGAAAAAAAAAAAUGGACUAAUUUUAUUAGGUAGUAUAAUUCCAUCUCUUCAUAGAGGAAAUUAAAAACAAAAGUGUUCUUCCCAUGCUGUUAUUUCACCUCAUGAAAUUUGUAUAUUAAACCCUUUCUUCACCAUGCACAAUUUUUGCCUAAAGGUAACAGACAAACAGAUGAAGGCUUCCAAAACCUAUUCAUUUCUAUUACUUUUCCCAUUAGUGGACGUUUUCUAGUUUGAACUUAUUUUAACUCAAACUUUAGAAAUUUCCCUUGAGAGCAAACACAAGUAUUGUUUUGUCUGUGUGUGCUUGAGUGUCUUCCUUUAGUUUAAAAUAUUUCCAAUAAAAGAAAUACAGCCAAAAUACAUACAGCCCAUUUUUGAAGCCUCUAACUUAUUAGCGUACACAAUUUUUUCACGUGGUCAUGAUUUUUAGAGCAUGUAACUUCAAUGCGUAACAGAAUGGGAACUCAAAAAGCCUUGAAAUUCAUUGUUUUGAGGACAGUUUGGGACUACACGUUUCCCACAGGUAUGUUUUAGUUAAGACUAAAUACCACCAGAAUAUUAGUUACGGUUCAGGAUCAGGAUCUUUUUUUAAACCAAGAAAUAAGAAAAGCUUGCUGUCAGCAACUGUGGGUGCAGCUUAAAAUGUCUUCCAUCGUUACAACAUUGCCCUCCCAAGAACUUAGAAACUC